AGUAAUGUAUGGGGAUCUGCCCGAUAGAGGGGGAUAACUACUGGAAACGGUGGCUAAUACCGCAUAAUGUCUACGGACCAAAGCAGGGGCUCUUCGGACCUUGCACUAUCGGAUGAACCCAUAUGGGAUUAGCUAGUAGGUGGGGUAAAGGCUCACCUAGGCGACGAUCUCUAGCUGGUCUGAGAGGAUGAUCGGCCACACUGGGACUGAGACACGGCCCAG
rnacentral:rRNA from 1 species